AGGACGAACGCUGGCGGCGUGCUUAACACAUGCAAGUCGAACGGAAAGGCCCGCUUGCGGGUACUCGAGUGGCGAACGGGUGAGUAACACGUGGGCAACCUGCCCUCAGCUCUGGGAUAACUCCGGGAAACCGGUGCUAAUACUGGAUAUCGACUUCUGCCUCGCAUGGGGUGUUGUUGAAAGUUUUUCGGCUGGGGAUGGGCCCGCGGCCUAUCAGCUUGUUGGUGGGGUGAUGGCCUACCAAGGCGACGACGGGUAGCCGGCCUGAGAGGGCGACCGGCCACACUGGGACUGAGACACGGCCCAGACUCCUACGGGAGGCAGCAGUGGGGAAUAUUGCGCAAUGGGCGGAAGCCUGACGCAGCGACGCCGCGUGAGGGAUGACGGCCUUCGGGUUGUAAACCUCUUUCAGCUCUGACGAAGCGAGAGUGACGGUAGGAGCAGAAGAAGCACCGGCCAACUACGCGCCAGCAGCCGCGGU
rnacentral:rRNA from 1 species